rnacentral:rRNA from 1 species
AUUGAACGCUGGCGGCAUGCCUAACACAUGCAAGUCGAGCGGCAGCGGAAAGUAGCUUGCUAUUUUGCCGGCGAGCGGCGGACGGGUGUGUAAUGUCUGGGAAACUGCCUGAUGGAGGGGGUUAACUACUGAAAACGGUAGCUAAUACCGCAUAACGUCGCAAGACCAAAGAGGGGUAGCUUCGGGCCGCUUUGCAUCAGAUGUUCCCAGAUGGGAUUAGCUAGUAGGUGGGGUAACGGCUCACCUAGGCGACGAUCCCUAGCUGGUCUGAGAGGAUGACCAGCCACACUGGAACUGAGACACGGUCCAGACUCCUACGGGAGGCAGCAGUGGGGAAUAUUGCACAAUGGGCGCAAGCCUGAUGCAGCCAUGCCGCGUGUAUGAAGAAGGCCUUCGGGUUGUAAAGUACUUUCAGCGGGGAGGAAGGUGUUGAGAUUAAUAACCUCAGCAAUUGACGUUACCCGCAGAAGAAGCACCGGCUAACUCCGUG